rnacentral:rRNA from 1 species
CCUACGUGUGGCAGCAGUGAGGAAUAUUGGUCAAUGGGCGGAAGCCUGAACCAGCCAAGUAGCGUGCGGGAUGAAGGCCCUACGGGUCGUAAACCGCUUUUGCACGGGGAUAACGCCCUCCACGUGUGGAGUUCUGCAGGUACCGUGCGAAUAAGGGCCGGCUAAUUCCGUGCCAGCAGCCGCGGUAAUACGGAAGGCCCGAGGGGUAUCCGGGUUCAUUGGGUUUAAAGGGGGCGUAGGCGGGCGUUCAAGGCAGCUGUAAAAUCGCGCGGCUCAACCGCGCCCCGCAGUUGAAACUGGAGGCCUUGAGUGCACAACAGGCAGGCGGAAGUCGUGGUGUAGCGGUGAAAUGCAUAGAUAUCACGAGGAACCCCGAUUGCGAAGGCAGCCUGCCGGGGUGCGACUGACGCUGAGGCUCGAAGGUGCGGGUAUCAAACAGGAUUAGAUACCCGGGUAGUC